rnacentral:rRNA from 1 species
AACGAACGCUGGCGGCAUGCCUAACACAUGCAAGUCGAACGCUCGCAAGAGAUUGGCGCACGGGUGAGUAACACGUGGGAAUCUGCCUAUCGGUUCGGAAUAACGUUUGGAAACGAACGCUAACACCGGAUACGUCCUUCGGGAGAAAGUUUACGCCGAUAGAGGAGCCCGCGUCCGAUUAGGUAGUUGGUGGGGUAAAGGCCUACCAAGCCGACGAUCGGUAGCUGGCCUGAGAGGAUGAUCAGCCACACUGGGACUGAGACACGGCCCAGACUCCUACGGGAGGCAGCAGUGGGGAAUAUUGGACAAUGGGCGCAAGCCUGAUCCAGCAAUGCCGCGUGAGUGAUGAAGGCCUUAGGGUUGUAAAGCUCUUUCGCACGUGACGAUGAUGACGGUAACGUGAGAAGAAGCCCCGGCUAACUUCGUGCCAGCCGCCGCGGUAA